GAUGAACGCUGGCGGCGUGCCUAAUACAUGCAAGUCGAGCGAACAGACGAGGAGCUUGCUCCUCUGACGUUAGCGGCGGACGGGCGAGUAACACGUGGAUAACCUACCUAUAAGACUGGGAUAACUUCGGGAAACCGGAGCUAAUACCGGAUAAUAUAUUGAACCGCAUGGUUCAAUAGUGAAAGACGGUUUUGCUGUCACUUAUAGAUGGAUCCGCGCCGCAUUAGCUAGUUGGUAAGGUAACGGCUUACGAAGGCAACGAUGCGUAGCCGACCUGAGAGGGUGAUCGGCCACACUGGAACUGAGACACGGUCCAGACUCCUACGGGAGGCAGCAGUAGGGAAUCUUCCGCAAUGGGCGAAAGCCUGACGGAGCAACGCCGCGUGAGUGAUGAAGGUCUUCGGAUCGUAAAACUCUGUUAUUAGGGAAGAACAAAUGUGUAAGUAACUAUGCACGUCUUGACGGUACCUAAUCAGAAAGCCACGGCUAACUACGUG
rnacentral:rRNA from 1 species